GAAAUCAUACGUGAUGUGUAGGGAAGUGUAUGGGGCAGUGGAAGGAAUGUGGACCGUUGCCUCCCUUCUCUUGUCUGGAUGACCUUGGAUGAGGCCUCAAUCCUGGUAGUCACCUGGACUCCUCCUGAAUUUCCCGCAUGUCCUGCAGCAGUGACCCCAUCUGACAUGUUGUGUGGCUGGCUGUCCCCCAGUGAAAUCAUAGCCCUGGAGGGCAGGGUGUGUUUCUUCGUUUUCCUGCCUGGUGUGUGGAGACCCCGUGUGACCGUGGCGCAGAUCAGGAGCUCGGUCCGGUCCUGGAUACCCUUGGCAUUGACAUGUGGCUGCAGACAGUGGAAGAGAGAGAGAGUAGAAGACCUGCCUGAGCUCACUCAGCAUGCGUCAACUUCAUUCCCAGUCCAUGGCUGGAGCGUAGCCACAUGGCUGGAGCGUAGCCCUGGAGCAGUCACAGGGCUGCAAAGGCUGCUGGGAAGUGUGUUCCAUACUGUGUGCCCAGAGCAAGGGAAGGGGUUUGGUGGGAGUUUGCCAGUUCCACCACAGCGCUGCUGUGACAGUUGAAAUCAAAUGCAUGAAGGGACUGGUUUUCACACAGGUCAGGUGUCAUGACUGCUACAAGCUGGGUUUUCCUCCAGCUUGUACUCCUGUCCAGACAGAGCAUCUAUUUUUUUUUUCUAUCUACUGAAUCAGAGAACCUACUUUUCUCAGGUCAGAGUCCAAAUUCCCAACUUGUAUCAAAUGAGAUUUUCUUCCCAGUGAUAAAUAGUGGGAUAUCUACAGACAUUUGCAAGGUGUUCGUCGCACCUCGUGAUUUCUCCCUUGGCAGGGACCUGUGGCCACUGUGUCUGGCUCAGGACACUGACAAAACACCAGGCUCAGGAUUUUUUUCCCCACAAUACAACUAGAUCCUGACCAAGGGUUUUUGAUGAAAAUCAGAUUUUGAAGACUGCUGUGGUUUAUAAGAGCUUCCUCAUGAAGAAGACUUUGUAGACCUCACCAUUUACAGAUAUGAGAGAGAAGUUUCCUUCUGAGUGAUCUCAUUCUGCUCUGAUGUCCCUGGGAACACGCAUUGGAGCCAAUAUCUCCCAUCUUUUCAAAUUAAAUUAGCUCCCUGUAGGGAGCCAGAUAAAAGAAUGAUGGAAAGAAAUGGAACAAUAUAGAUUAGCCCAUUUUUGAUGCUUGGGUUAAAUUUUAUUAAAAUGACUGUUCUGCAUGGCCUAAACCAUC